AAAAAUGAAAAUUUUCCUCAUCCCCAUGCCCUGAGGAUGAGGAACAGUUGAGCAAGAUCAUGAUGAGCUACUGGGGGAACUUUGCUCGCACAGGAUCUCCUGAUGGGCACAACCUUGUCCACUGGCCAAAGUAUGGAGCAGAAGAAAAGUACCUGGCGAUUGAUUGAAAAAAGCAGGCAACUGCUCAGCACCUGAAGAAGGAGCGAUUUGUCUUCCUGACUCAGACCGUCCCAGAGAAGAUCCAACAGCAUGAGGAAAAUGCAGAAUGCAGCGAGCUGU